rnacentral:rRNA from 1 species
CAACUUACAACAACGGAUCUCUUGGCUCUUGCAUCGAUGAAGAACGCAGCGAAAUGCGAUAAGUAAUGUGAAUUGCAGAAUUCAGUGAAUCAUCGAAUCUUUGAACGCACCUUGCGCCCCUUGGUAUUCCGAGGGGCAUGCCUGUUUGAGUGUCAUG